rnacentral:misc_RNA from 1 species
UAUCUGUAGGUGAACCUGCAGAUGGAUCAUUAGCCUGUAUGAAUGUGUGUAUGGUAGGGGAACUCCUCUCUCCCACGCACGCUCUCUCCCUGUGUGUCUGGUCCUCCAACCGAACAAGAACCACUGUGAGAAUGCUCCAAUGCUUUGUGUCUACACUGCUCGUGUGAUGUCACCUGACUCUCCGUGCUGUAGAACCCACCCAACUCAGCCAUGUGCCUUUGCGUGCGUGUGGUACGUCUACUCCCUGCGUCGAUGUCCCCGGACACUCCUCACACGGAACCGACUCACCACACACACGCUCCAACAACAACACCUUUAUAACUGUGGACAACGGAUAUCUUGGUUCUC